GGUGUGUCUGCUGGCUUGCAAUUGAUCAUUUCCGUCUCUGUCAAAAGAUCUAAUAUAUAUUUUUUUUGACAAAUAAAAAUUCCCUGUUUAGACUUUGAAACUUCUACUCCAAGGAAAUACUUCAGAUUUCCCAAAUCUUUCAUUUCAAAUUCUGCAAACAAAGCUGAUUUUAGUUGAUUAAUCUCUUUUUCAUCAUUUCCUGUUAUAAUCAUGUCAUCAACAUAAAUUAUUAGACAUGUCACAAGAUUCCCUCUAUGACGAAGAAACAAUGUGUGAUCUGAGUUGCUUUGUUGAUAUCCAUAUUUCUUCAUAGCAAGAGUAAAUCUUCCAAACCAAGCUCCGGGUGACUAAGGCCUUCUUCAAUUUACAAACUUCCCCCCUCUUAUAAGUUGGUUGAAAAACGUGGAGGUGCUUCCAUAUACACUUCUUAAAUUUACAAAUCUAUUCAAUUACCUGUUUGGUUUUUCAACUUUACAAAUACACUUCUUAAAUUUACAAAUCCAUAUAUCAAUCAGGUUUUUCAACCACCUCCAGUUUGAUAUGAUAUAAGGCCUUCUUCAAUUUACAAACUUCCCCACUCUUAGAUUAUGAUAUUAGGUUUGAUAUGAUAUCACAUCACAAAAACCUAUAGCAAUUAGGGUAAUAGUUUGAUAUGAUUUUAUCACAUCACAAAUCAUCUACGGUAGUAAGUCACGACGAUUACUUAUCUACUUCACACAUAUGGGCAGGAUUUUCAAUUUAUAUGGAGUUGGUUCGUGACAAAAGGUCUCUUUUGGAACAUUGCUUUGCAGGGAAAAGAUGAGAUGCUCAGGUGCAGCAUUGGGUGAGGGACCGGAGAGGCAGGGAAGGCUUUAGCUUGCGACCCGGAUAUGUGGUAAAACUAAGUCCAUAUGUAGCUAUGUAUGAGAUGGUGCCUUAAUCUUAAUAUUAUGUUGUAAAUCUCAUUUUUUGAGAAAAUUCCAGAUUACCAGAGUAUAUAUCAUUUACUUA